rnacentral:lncRNA from 1 species
CGGCCAUUGAAUUUCAACAUGAGUUUUAAAGGAAACAUGCAAACCCUAGCACGAAGUAUUCACCAGAUGCCAGCUGUGAUUAUUAUAAUCUGAGCACGUGCAUAGUACAUACAUGUCCACCCAUGGCACAAUAAAAAUAACAGCCUUGGGCUGAGCAUGGUGGCUCAUGCCUGUAAUCCCAGCCCUUUGGGAGGCCGAGGCAGGCAGAUCACGAAAUCAAGAGAUCGAGACCAUCCUGGUCAACAUGGUGAAACUCCGUCUCUUCUAAAAAUACAAAAAUUAGCUGGGCGUGCUGUAGCGCGCCUGUAGUCUCAGCUACUCGGGAGGCUGAGGCAGGAGAAUCGCUUAAAUCUGGGAGGCGGAGGUUGCAGUGUGCUGAGAUGGCCCCACUGCACUCCGCACACCAGCCUGUGCGACAGAGCGAGACCUCGUCUCAAAAAAAUAAAAAUAACAGCCUCGGGUUAAGCGCGGUGGCUCACUAGUGUAAUUCCAGCACUUUGGGAGGUCACGGUGGGAGAAUUACUUCAGACCAGGAGUUCAAGACCAGCCUGGGCAACAUAGCAAUACCUCAUCUUUACAAAAAAUUUAAAAAUUAGUCGGGCAUGGUGGCAUGUGUCUGUAGACCCAGCUACUCAAGAGGCUGAGGUGGAAGGAUCGCUUGAGCCCAGGAGACUGAGGCUGCAUUGCAGUGAGCUGUGAUCGUACUGCUACACUUCGCCGGGCAACAGAGUGAGAUCCUGUCUCAAAAAAAUAUUAACAGCCUCGGGCCAUGCCUAUGUCAAGACUGUUGUGUGCAGGGAAACCAUCCUGCCACCUCCCUUCGGUCUUGGGAGAGCUUAAUCCUGAAAGGGUUGUGGAAGGACAAGGUGGCUUGGGGACUGGUAAUGAUCUCUUCCCAGGCUUCAUCACUGUUCUUUUAAAUAAUUAAUUCAUCUUCUUCCUUGGUGUUUACAUCCUUCAAAUAUUUGUAGAUGGUUAUCAUGUCCCUUUAGUCACCACUUAGCACCACUCUGCAUAUUUGCUGUCAUGUUGAGUGUGUGUUAUCAUCAUUGUCAUUAUUAUUAUUAUUUCCUCCCAGCUCCCUCCCUCAGUCCCUCAGCCACCAUCAUCACUCAGUGAAUUUCCUCCAGGUUCCCAACCUUUCAAGUACCAGGUUACCCAAGAUGGGACAUUAAAAGUCAGUAGUGAUGACAAGCCCUACUUGUCACAGAGGGCUUGCAGGCCCUCUGGUUCCUCACUAAUUCUCAUCAGUUUCCCCAAAGCCACAGCAAAAAAAAAAAAAAAAAGACAAACUAAGUAAAAACAGCAUGCUUACACUGCAAACACAGCUUCCAGACAAAUCCCCCAGCCCCUGCUCCCAAACAGAUAAUCCUCAAUUUUCUCAAAUACAAAAUCAGGAUGAGAAUCCCUGCUCUCAACAACCUGGGAUUAUUGUGAGGAUUCAAAGAGGAAUAAAAACUGAAAGGUGCUUUGUAAACUAUAAAACAGGGAGGGUGGUACUAUCAGCAAUGCCUUCCACAUAGGAUGGGAUUUCUACAAAAUGUUCCAGAGGUCAACUGUUCUAAAAAGCUAAAAAUUCUAAGUUAGAAUUUACAAAUGAACUCGAUAGAGCCAAGAUUCACCCGAAAAUCUGUCUAUUGAAAGAAUAUAAAGAGAUGCCCUACUUAAAAAUCUACUCAUAGAUGUUAGUAUUCCAAAUAAAGUGUGGAACUCAGAGCUGGAGGCUGAUGGGGCCUUGGAGUUUACAGAUGGCCCUGACGAGACUUUAGAAGGUCAAGCUGCUAUAAAAGACUUAAAAAAAAUCCACCUUGUCUUGCAUUUCAGAUCUCACUGAAGAGUUCUUCUGUGCCUGGAAGACUUAUUUUCAGUCUGAGAAGAAUGAUUUUUCAAUGGUUCUGUUGAACAUGCAAUUCUCACUGAAAGCACCAGAUUUCCGCGUAGGAGGGACUCGGGGGCAACGAUGCAAUUGGAAGAACUGCACCGAAAAUGACGAUGUCUUCUCAUGCAUAUGAAUUAUCCAAAGUGUAGGAAGAUGCGCCCCCACUGGAGUACGCUGAAGCCUUUAACCCAAGUACAUUUAAUGCUGCGAAGCCCCGAGUGAGGCAAAGGUGUCUUUUUAUUUUAGAAGACAUUUAGGACAGUUCAUGUCACUCUGCACAGAUGCACUGAAAUUGAUUGUGGGGCAAACUAUAAAGAGAGCUUAUGCUCCCCAAAUCUGUUUCCGAGCCAGGUAGGAUGAUGAAUUCUGAGGUGGGACUGAGGGGGAACGGUGGCAGCUCUCUCCCCUGCACGCACCGGCCAACUACUUCCCCGUUUGGACAUUGGCGUGACACCCUCCUUCCCUGUUCAUCUGUGAAAAUGUGCAGCGUUUUCAUUUAAAACCUCCUGCUCCAACAUGGGGCCUUCUGCAGACCGCAGGGACCCCCAACAAUUACUUGUUGGAAGAACAAAUGAAGCAUAAAGCAUGAUACUUUAUUUUAAACAUACAGGUGGCACAAAUUUAUUUCCAAAGAUUUAAGCACCUGAUGACUUCUCCUUAGAGAAAAAGCAAUAAAAGGAGCCUCUUCUGUCACAAAUUUCCACUUAGCAUGGUUUGUGCAGAGGCAGAAUUUCAGGCUUUUACCACUGAGCUCUGGACAUGAAGCAAAGCUAACACUAGAGGGUGCUAUAGAUUAGGAAAUCCAGGGACCAUGGGCGCCGGAGCGCGUUCAAGACGCUGCCCUCCCGAUUGUAACCUAACAAACUGAGCGUGUCACUUUGCCAGAAUUUACCCCUUCACCAUUUCUGCUAUGAUGAAAUUAUCCAGAUAUGUUUAAUUUGAAAUUUUAACUUAGUCUGUGAUUAUGUGGAAUUUCAACACUGGCUGUGGCCCAGUGCAGUGGCUCACUCACACCUGUAAUCCCAGUGCUUUGGGAGGCCAAGUCUGGUGGAUAAUUUGUGGUCAGGAGUUCGAAACCAGCCUGGCCAACAUGGUGAAACCCUGUCUCUCCUAAAAAUACAGAAAUUAGCCUGGUGCCUGUAAUCCCAGCUACUCGGGAGGCUGAGGCAGGAGAAUUGCUUGAACCCUCAGGAGGCAGAGGUUGCAGUGAGCCGAGAUCACGCCACUGCACUCCAGUCCUGUCUAAAAAAAAAAAAAAAAAAAAAAAGGACUGAGCCCAGGUCUGUAGGAUAGACACUUUGUGUUUGUAUCUUAAGUACUUUGCGAUCUCACCCUUACAAACCUGAUACUAAAUUCCACUUACCUACUUCAGUCCUUCUCUGAGGGAAGGUGGAGUUUGGAGGCAAUUUUAGGAAGCAGGAUGAGGAAACAGGGAAGGUGACACAGUGAAGGACAAGCCAACACAAGGGUGGAUUACCAAGGCUGGUCCCCUCUACAGGCACCCAGGGCUCGGUCCCACGCGGACUGCUGAGUAGACAGAAGACCUUUCAGAAUCUUCUGCCUCUCCCCCAUUUGCUGAGAGUUCCCUGGGAACGGUAACCCCCGUACCUUCGGGCUGAACAUAUGUUUGCAUGCUGAAUGGGCUCUUUCUGCCAUCCCAUGCCACAGCAUUCAGGAAGCCCUGGGGCCAAAGCAAACAGCAUGCUUGAGGCAAGGUGCUGUGAGGCCCAAAUGAGCUGAAGCUUGCACAAAACUGCUCACCACUGCCAUAGCUGAAUCAGCGGAGGCCAGGAGGAUGCGAGGCGGUGCCCGUGAUUGUCUGAUCAUCUCCCUCUUGGACCGCUGAGACUCAGGCAUGCCCUGCAUCAAAUCCAACCUGUCACCAGGUCUUCAAGGGGGAGGCCUGCGGAAAUCCUACUGUGAAUGAAACUACAGUUGCUAUUCAUCGUCUCCCUCCUGCACCUACCACUCCAGAUGUCCCUCACUCUUGGCCAGCACUUUGGCUUGUUUAAGUUGUGUGCCAGGUGAGGUGACCACACCUUCCCCCCUGCAGUUUCUGAGUCUUUCCUGAGCUUUGUCUUGGUUGGCCCUUGGCUGCUGUGACUGCCUAUUUUAUCUAAUUGCAGGUUCAAGAUUCACCAAGAAGGCAGGGCGCAGUGGCUCACAUCUGUAAUCCCAGCACUUUGGGAGGCUGAAGCAGGCAGAUCACUUCAGCCCAGGAGUUUGAGACCAGCCUGGGCAACAGAGCAAGACCCCAUCUCUAAAGAAAAAUAAUUAUUCAGGUGUGGUGGCACAUGCCUGUAGUCCCAGCUACUCAGGAGGCGGAGGUGGGAGGAUCGCUUGAGCCCAGGAGGUUGAGGCUGCAGUGAGCCGUGAUUGCACCAUUGCACUCUAGCUGGGCAACAGAGCAAAACCCUGUCUCCAAAAAUAAUAAGUAAAUAAAUAAAUAAGAUACUAAGAGACAGCCCAGUGACUCUCCUGAGUCCCAAACAUACUCAUCCAUCCCUCAUGGAGAAACAACUCUAUCUCCUUGCAAUAAUCAGAACUAGUUUCUCCUGCCAGUUUAAUCAGUACUUUUUUUAUUGCAGUAAAAUACACACAACAUAAAAUGUGCCACUUUAACCAUUUUAUUAUUAUUAUUAUUAUUAUUAUUAUUAUUAAGACGGAGUUUCACUCUUGUUGCCCAUGCUGGAGUGCAGGGGCGCGAUCUUGGCUCACUGCAACUUCCACUUUCUGGGUUCAAGCGAUUCUCUUGCCUCAGCCUCCGGAGUAGCUGAGAUUACAGGCACACGCAGCCAUGCCCAGCUAAUUUUUGUAUUUUUAGUAGAGACGGGGUUUCACCAUAUUGGUCAGGCUGGUCUCAAACUCCUGACCUCAGGUGAUCCACCCACCCCUUGGCCUCCCAAAGUGCUGGGAUUACAGGCGUGAACCACCAUGCCCAGCCCAUUUUAACCAUUUUUAAAUGUUCAUUCAGUGGCCUGAGUUAUAUGAACAUUGCUGGACAACCAUUGCUACUAUGUAUUUCCAAAACUUUUUAAUUGCCUUAAACAGAAGCCUUGUAACCAUUAAGCAACACCUCCCCAUCCCCUCUCCCCUCAGCCCCUAGUAAUCACUAGCCUACUUUCUCUGCUACUUUGUCUCUUGUAGAUGUUUCAAACAAGUAGAAUGAUAUGAUACUUGUCCUUUUGAAACUGACUUAUUUUACAUAGUAUAGUGUUUUCAAGGUCCAUCCAUGUGGUGCAUGUAUUAAAGCUUCAUGCACUUUUAUGGCUGAAUAAUGUUCCAUUGUAUGUACAAGGCGUGCCACAUUUUGUUAUUCAUUCACCUGUUAAUGGCAACUUGGCUUGUUUCCACUUUUGGGCCCUUGUGGAUAAUGCUGCAGUGAACAUCAGCAUGGAUGUCUCUGAGUCCUGCUUUCAGUUCUUCAGGGUAUAUGCCUAGCAGUGGAGUAGCUGAUUCUAUGUUAAUUCUAUGUUUAAUUUUUUGAGAAACUGCCAUAUUGUUCUCCAGGCUGGCUGCACCAUUCCACAUUCCCACUAACCGUGCACAAAGAUUCCAAUUUCUUACCAACACACUCUCAUCAAUACAUGUUAUUUUUAGUUUAUCGUGUUUUCAUUUUUCUUUUAUUAAUAUAUAGCAGGCAUUCUAAUGGGUGUGGGGUGGUAUCUCAUUUUGGUUUUGAUCUGCAUUUUCCUAGUGUUUAGCGAUGUUGAGUAUACUUUCCUGUGGUCAUUUGUAUAUUUUCUUUGGAUGUGUAUCUGUUCAAAUCCUUUACUCAUUUUUAAUUGAGUUGUCUUUUUGUUAUUGAGUUGUAGGAGUUCCUUAUAUAUUCUUGAUUUUAAAACUUUAUCAGAUAUAUGAUUUGCAGAUAUUUUCUCCCAUUGCAUCGGUUGUUUUUUCAGUUUCUUGAUAAUGUCCUUUCAUGCACAAAAGUGUUUAGUUUUGAUGAAUUCCAAUUUGUCUCUUUUUCUUUCUUUGCUCAUGUUUUUGGUGUCGUAUCUGAGAAUCCAUUACCAAAUCCAAGGUCGUGAAGAUUUACCUAUAUGUUUUCUUGUAAGAGUUCUGAUGUUUGUCAUUGAUCCAUGCUGAGUUAACAUUUAUACCGUAUAAUGUAGGGGCUACCUCUUCAUUCUUUUGCAUGUAGAAACUCCGUUAUCCUAAUUGUUGCUAAUUGCCUCUGGCCCACUGACUUGAGAAGCCCAAGAGGACCAGGGAGUAUUUGUAUUUUCAAGUUCUGUAGAAUUGGUGAUGUUCCCUGGUGGAGGAGUCCACUCUCCGCUCCUCCUCCCCCAUCAAGAACUAAGACGUCGAAUUUGCUAGAGCCCCACCCAAAGCUGUGGACACAGGAAGCACACAUUUCUCAAGGUGGUCUCUGCGAGUGAUGGUGAGAGCAGCCGAUCUCACUCCCCCCGCCACCCCCUGGGUUUCCAGCCCCAUGUCUUUCUGCUUUUGGGAUCAUAGCACCAUGUGUCUGCUCUUGGUAAGGCACGUACACCACAGUUUCAAGGAUAGUAUCCCAAUUAUACAGGGUGUGGGCUCACGCUUUCACCCUGGCAUAGCCUUGGCACAGGUCAUCCUGAUGUUCUUGUAGGCCUGCUGCUUCCAGAGGAACCUUGGAGCCAUAGCUUCUUUGCUGUAAAACAGACCCCUUGGCUUGAGGCAGUGUUGUUCAAAUCCCCUGCCAAUAAAUCAGAGACGACCGUAAGUGCUCUGUUGGUGAUGCCAGUGAAGGCACUGUUGCAAGGAAGGAAAAUCCAUAUCCAGAGUCGGUGUUCACUCUGCUAGGACUCAUCGCUGUCUCAUCAAUGACAGAAGGGGUCUCAUAUAAUGAACUUUGCACUGUGACUGCCUGAUCUCCUUGUGAAAUGGUGCCAUCUUGAGGGCUCAUUAUUAGUCCAUGUGGUUGGCAGGUAGGGCAUUCAGUAGCGGCAGCAGCCAGGUCAUCUCUAGCAAGAGGGAACUUGUGUUGGGCUCAUGCCUCCCUUGACUUUUGCCACCAUGGCCACACCAUUCAUGGAACUAUCUAUUUCCCCUGCCGUGGGGUGGCUGAUGCUGGCUGAUGCCCAGAGGAUGAACCAUCCUGUCCACCCAGUUGCUAGGUGCCUCCUCUGCAGGAGAGGCUUUUUGGCAGACCUUAACGUAAGUCCAAUGAUUGGCACGCUAGUGCCAUUUCCAUAGGUCAGUAGUACUGAUUUUUCCUUUUGUCUCAGACACCAAUAUGGCUCGGCACAGCAGUUACUGAUCCUGUCUCUAUUUGAAAUUUUAAUAUUUUGCUCAUCAUGGAU